rnacentral:rRNA from 1 species
UAAUACGUAGGAGGCAAACGUUAUCCGGAAUUACUGGGCGUAAAGCGCACGCAGGCGGCUUCGUAAGUCCGACGUGAAAGCUCCUGGCUUAACUGGGAGAGGCCGUUGGAUACUGCGAAGCUCGAGGUUAGGAGAGGAAAGUGGAAUUCCCGGUGUAGUGGUGGAAUGCGUAGAUAUCGGGAGGAACCCCAGUGGCGAAAGCGACUUUCUAGCCUACACCUGACGCUGAGGUGCGAAAGCGUGGGGAGCGAACAGG